CUUCUUUUUCCUCUUGGAUGUUUCCUCCCAGCAUCCUAAACCCAGCCCUCAGCUGGGUUCUUUUUAUACACACU
rnacentral:sRNA from 2 species